GGUAUGGGAGCUUGCUUCCUAGAGACCGGCGCACGGGUGCGUAACGCGUAUGCAAUCUACCUUGUACAGGGGAAUAGCCCAGAGAAAUUUGGAUUAAUGCCCCAUAGUAUUAUUAAAUGGCAUCCUUUAAUAAUUAAAGUUCCAACGGUACAAGAUGAGCAUGCGUCCUAUUAGUUAGUUGGUGUGGUAACGGCAUACCAAGACGAUGAUAGGUAGGGGUCCUGAGAGGGAGAUCCCCCACACUGGUACUGAGACACGGACCAGACUCCUACGGGAGGCAGCAGUGAGGAAUAUUGGACAAUGGGCGCAAGCCUGAUCCAGCCAUGCCGCGUGCAGGAAGACGGUCCUAUGGAUUGUAAACUGCUUUUAUACAGGAAGAAACACUGGUUCGUGAACCAGCUUGACGGUACUGUAAGAAUAAGGAUCGGCUAACUCCGUGCCAGCAGCCGCGGUAAUACGGAGGAUCCAAGCGUUAUCCGGAAUCAUUGGGUUUAAAGGGUCCGUAGGCGGCCUUAUAAGUCAGUGGUGAAAUCUCCUAGCUCAACUAGGAAAUGGCCAUUGAUACUGUAGGGCUUGAAUUAUUGUGAAGUAACUAGAAUAUGUAGUGUAGCGGUGAAAUGCUUAGAUAUUACAUGGAAUACCAAUUGCGAAGGCAGGUUGCUAACAAUAUAUUGACGCUGAUGGACGAAAGCGUGGGGAGCGAACAGGAUUAGAUACCCUGGUAGUCCACGCCGUAAACGAUGGAUACUAGCUGUUUGGAGCAAUCUGAGUGGCUAAGCGAAAGUGAUAAGUAUCCCACCUG
rnacentral:rRNA from 1 species